UUCAAACAAUGGCAGUAAACUUCUACGGAUUAACCAAAAUUGAUUUCAGACUAUCUAAAAAUGCAUUAUGGGAUGCUUGCGUAGCGCAAUGGCUCACUGUUAGCAAUGAGUCUUUUAGGUGUCUGUUUAUGAAAGGCAUCGAUUAAUAUAGCAUGUGGUCCAUUAAGUAAGAAAUCCCUUAAAAGAUUCUUUAGCUAAGACAAAUUUCUUCAUUUUUUUAUUGAAUUGUCUCAAAAAAUCAGAAUGAACGUCCAUACAGAAAGCAAGUAAACGUCGAUGAAUUGUAUUGCUAACGCUGAUACCGUGGGUGUUAAAAACGAUAAACAAACGCAGACUUGGUGUCUGUAUGGAAUAAUCUUUGUGAAAAUUAUUGCAAAGGAAACGUAUAUACCAUCAGAUAGUAAAUUUCUCAUCAGAGGUCUGCAAUAAAAACUAGCAUGGCUUAAAGAUACCUGAUAUGACGUGUUUUCGUGAAAAGCAAAAUCAUUUGCUUAGUUGUUUACAAAGUUACUGGGUUGAACUUGCUGUUACUGCAAGAUUGUACGAUUUCUGUUGUCACAGAACACCCUUAUCGUUAUUCGGUCAAUCGCUCAAAGAAAGCUAGCUCUCCCAGAAGUCCCUGCGGUUGCCUAAGCAACGAGUUUAAUGAAUUUCUAAAUAACCAUUAUCGAUAAGAAUAGAUCGUCUAUAUAAAAGAUGUUCCUGCUUAAAGGGAACUUAGUAUCAUCCAACAGACGAACACAAUCGAGAGAUAAUUCAUUUUGCAAAGUUAGCAAGGACGAUCUACUCAACAAACAAUUCAAGUCAUGCAUACAACAUACGCAGCUCUACUUAUUUUAUCUCUUGUAUGCUUAGUGUUCUCUGCCCCUCGAAUUACAAGUGACAUACUCAGAGAUGAGGACAAAGAAGCGACAGUACACAAUAAGCCUGUUGAGAGACAUUAUGAAAUGUUAGGUGUAUUCGAGCCAUUCAAAGCUUACUUUACAAUGAAACGCACAAGCGAAUUAUUGCAAAAACGAGGCAGAAGGCAGAUGAAAUGCAUCAAAUACAAUGCAGCGGCUAAAAAGUGCAGCAGGUAUGCUUUAGUUGGCAUGUGGUGACCAGAAGAUGCCUCGUGGAGAAUCAAACUGACAACUAAAUUUAGUUUCUAAUGGACUAUAAAUACGUCUCGACAACCGAUUGAAUAAUUCAUUUCAACAAUUAAGAAACCUUUGAGUGUUCAUGGCUCAAAGUUAAAAUUACGAGAUAAAAUCUUGCUGAACUAUUUUUCUAUAGAACAUUGUCAUUGCCUAUUUUCUCUUUCGUAUUUAAAUCUUUCAUUUACAUAUCUAAGUUUAAGAGUUCCUACAUAAAAUGGAUCAGAGCAUGCUAGAC